GCCAUACCCCUGCUCACUGCAGCAAGCGGUGCAGUCAGGAGCCGGCUUCAUCCCAGUUUCACCAAGAUGCCGCAGCAGUCAGCUGUUCGGGAAGCUGGGCACACAGCCCUACUGGGUGCCAGGUGGGCUUGGCCUGCAGCAGGAGCAGGGGCAGGGAAGGACGUGCCUGCUUUCCCUUCAUCUUCCACCGUGAUUCUAAGUUUCCUGAGGCCUCCCCAGCCAUGCCUCCUGGACAGCCUGCAGAACCACUGUCAGCCCCACGGGAAGAGGCCCCGCUGCCAGGACCUGCCAGCCCAGAGCCCUCUCACCAUGAGCAGUUGAAUGAAUCAACGCAUGCAGGGACAAACCUGUGCGCGCCAAUGCUCAGCCUCGGGAAAUCUGUGCGCGCGAAAAUGCUCAGCCUCGGGAAACCUGUGCGCGCGAAUGCUCAGCCUCGGGAAACCUGUGCGCGCGAAUGCUCAGCCUCGGAAAACCUGUGCGCGCGAAUGCUCAGCCUCGGGGCCCUGGCUGCACUCUUGGCCCGGGACCUUCCUGCUCCCCUGGCCCCCCUGGUCUGCCCAUCCUCCUCUGUCCCGACUCAGCUCAAACACGCCUUCUGGGGAUCCCCCUGGCCCACCCAGGCCAGGCGGCCAGGCAGGGCAUGGGCUCCAGAACUCUUAGCGUGGUUUUCAAUCACAGUCGGGCUAAGUGUAUCAGGGCUGCGUGCAGGGCUUGGAGCUGGGGGAGUGUGUCCCUAGCGAAGGGCUCUUCUCCCACCCGCCCCUCACCCCUGCUGAGUCUCCCUCCCUACCCCUGUGGGGCAACUUGGGUGGGCCCAUGGGUCCUGGGGGCACUUGGGAGGUGUCAGGGCAGGCUCGUGGGGUUAUCUAGGAGCCUAGUCCAAUCUAAAUCACAACUUCCCCUCUGCAGCUUCAGCCUUCAGCCCUCUUCUUCCUGCCGAGGCGAGGGGGCUGCUGGGAGGUUUUGGUCCUGCAGACUCCAGAGUCGCUGGGAGGAGGGGAGAGUAUGUCGGCCCCAGGUCCCCGGCUCUGCUCCUGCGUUCUGGCCUCCGGUUUCUCUGGGGUAGGAGAGGAGGGCAGGGAUCCUGUGAAUAAAAUGGCACAGAUGUGCUUCCACGAAUUUCCUGCUGAGAGUCCAUGAGCGUCGCAAGGAUUUGGGCAUGCAUGUCAUGUCAUGAUCUGUUCAGAGUACCGUCACCAGCAACAAAGCAUGGCUCGGCACGCGGGCAAAACUGCACCAACCACCAUGCAUGGACACAGCACCCAUCUAGCCCUGAUCUGGUGGUUUGUUUGCGUCCCCUUGCUGUGCCCCACCCAAGGAGGAUGGGGGGUUCAGUGUGUCAAAAAAUAAAGUCCGGACUCAUAGAAAAUAUUAUUAUACUGUGGAGACAGGUCCUUUUUUUUUUUUUUUUUAACCAUUUUAAAUAUGGAAGAGCCAGGCCUGGAGAGGUGAGCUAACCUGCCCAGAUCCCACAGUGGGGGUAGGACAGGCUGGGGCUGGACCUUAGCCCCCUUGUCCCAGGCCCAGGCUCCCUGCUCCUUUUGGCUGGAAACCUCCAGCUCUAAGGGCUAGUAGGGGUUCCUCAGGGCUGGGCUCUUAGCUUCUGGGGGCCAGGGGAGUUGGGGCAGUGCCAGGAGUCCAGGGAUGGUAGCAUUUGGUUUUUCCAGCCAAUGCAGAAACAGCACCUGCUAUAACCCCAGAGGCCAGAGGACUUCCAAGAAUGUCCUGCUCAGACUGGGGGCCCCUGCUGGAGGGGUGGGGCCAGAGACAGCAACCCCCAGGUUUCCUUUAUCAGAGUGGAGGAUGGGCCGUCCCCUGAAACCAGAGCCCGUGAGGUGCGGGAGCUUCCCUGCUCUGAGGAUGGCUCACCAAGUGCCUCUGCAUGGACACUUGUCCCCCCCAAAUUUCCUACAAGAGACACGAGGCAGAGCUGCCAUUUGUCCCUGUUAGAAAGGAGGCUCUCCGCAGGUGGGGGCGCCCUGGGGUGCCCUGGCUUCUCGCUGGUUCAUCCCCGGGCCCCUUCUUUCUUUCUGCUCCCACUUCCCCAGGCUCGGGGGCUGUGUCCCCUCAAUGUGCCGAUGAGGGCACGACAUCUUGGUUGCUGAGCAACCAAGACACGAACCAGAGCCCCAGGGCUUCCUGUAGGGGCUGACGUGGCUGGGCCUCGCUAGAGUGACCAGGUCUCCACCUCUGUCUAGGCCCUGGGUUUUCUUGUCCUUGUGUUUGUGUGACGGCCACAGGGCUGGUGCCUCCGACCUACUGGGAACUGUGCCUGAGCGGGUCUGUGCUCAGCGUCUGCUGAGUCUCUGGGCCUGGCAGAGGCUGCUUAGGAGGCCAAGCACGGAGCACCCCUGACGCCCAUGGAGUCCCAGUGAGACAGUGCUGAACUGUGAAAUACACUCCAACUUGUCCAAGACAGCUUGGUUUUGUCUCCGUUUAUUCCCCAGAAGCCCCUUUUAUUCAUAUUUUACCUACUUUUGGGUGCCCCAGACACAUGCCAGCUCUGAUCCCUGGGGGAGCCAGCCCUUGGCCUGCCUGCAAAGGCCCCAGGCUCCUGGGAGGCCCCAUGUGGGGGUACACAGCGCUCCCAGAGCUGGAAGCCUGCGCCAUCCUCCCUAGGGGAGUGGCUGUCUCUCUGUCUCUGCCUGGGGGCCACUGCUCCAGAAGCUCUUUUUGGGAUCUGCUUUCACCUCUUUUCUUUCUGGGCUGCUUCCUCACCCCUUCCUCAUUUUUUGUUUUAAUGAGAAAAGGUCUUGCCCUGACAUCCAGGCUAGAGUGCAGUGGUGCAAUCACAGCUCACUCCUGGGGUCAAACGAUCCUUCCUUCUCAGCCUCCCGAAAAGCUGGGAUUACGGGUGCAUGCCACCAUGCCCGGCCUCAUUUUUUUUUAUUAUGAAAGUUUUCAAGCAUUCAACAUUUCAAGCAAAGAAUGAAAUAAUAGAACAUGAUUACCCAUACAGCCACCACCUGGAUUCAACAAUGCACUCAUGUUUCCUCCCGGCUCCCUCUCUGCAGCACGGCCAGGGAUGUGGCACCUCGGCUGGAGGCUGCAGCUCCUCUCAAAGGACUCUGCCUAGAACUGCUCUCUCAGAGCCCAGAAUCUUCCCCGUUCCUUUUUCAGACCAGUGAGUGGGAGUAAUGGCUCCCACUGCCACUAGCUCUGUGGGCAUACUGUUCAUCUCGAGUCCCUAACCCUGUCCAGACAGUAUGUAAAUUGUCCCUCUACUUCACGUCCCCAGACUCCCAGUCGGACUGGCUUUGUGACUGACGUCUCUGUGUCUCCUCCUCUCUCCUCCUUUCUUUUCCUCUUUUCGUGUCUUCCUCCUCCUCCUGCCUCCUUUCUGGUCUAAUAACCACUUGGAAGGAAGCUGCAGGCCUCCUGAAACUUGACCUCCAAACAGGCAGACAUCCCUCUCCUGAGAAUAAGGACAGUUCCCUUCAGAACCACAGCAUCGGCACCCGAGACACCUGAUCAUCCCCUCCCAUCCCCUCCCAUUGCCUGGGAUCCAGUCCAUAAGUGAAUUUCCUAAUUGUUCACCUGACCAUCCCGUCCCAUCCCCUGGGAUCCGGUCCACAUGCGAAUUUCCUAAUUGUUCAAAACGGUCCCUUAUGCUUAUUUUUGAAGUAGUGCGUGAUUGCACCUGGUGUGUCUGGCUCAGUCUUGGAAUCUCUUUAUGCCAGGACAUGCCCAUCUUCUAUUUCCCCACGACGCUGACUUUGUGGACCCAGUGCCUGGCAGCCCGUCCUGUUGCGGGGUCCCUCUUCCCCUGGGUGGCACCCCCAAAGGCUGGUUCAGGGUCAGGUCAGCCUUUCAGAGAAGAGUGCUCCCUGCAUAGUCCUGCUGCUGAGGCCACAUUACCUCCUGCGAGGGGCAUUGCUAAGGCCGGUGGGUUCCUUCAGCAAACCCGCCCUGGCUCCUGCUGCCUUAGGACCAGUGGCACAGGCCCAGCCUUGCCCACGGCGCCCCCCCUUGAGGCCACAAGUGCGGCUCAGGAGGCCCAAGUGUGCACAGUGAGCUCAUGCCCACUUCCAGCCAACAACCCUCUUGCCUGGUGACACUUCCCUGGGCUGCUGGACCUGCGAAAGCCCCAAAUGCCAAACAUUCCCACCUCACAUGAUCCCAGAGAGAGGGGACCCGAUGUUCCCAGCUUGCAGCUGAGGAGCCCGAAGUUGCCGUCAGAUCAGAACCCCAGCUGCCCGGUCUGCCGCAGCUCUGCUAGGUGUGACGGGGUCAGUAGGGCCCAAUGCCCUCGUGCAGCCCGGCCCCGCCCCAUGCUGGGGGUUCACACGGUGACCUCUUUCCCUUCCUUGACCGAGGAUCUUCACUGGGCAGUAGACAGGCAAUGCCCAGGGUCUUCUGGCCUAUGUGGCCUCCCGGCCUGGAGAUGCUGUGCCUGGUCGGGGACCUGGUCUGGUGGGGAGGCAGUGGCCUGGGGUUUUCUCUUGGCCGUGUGCUCCCCUAGGCCUGAUGGAGCCCAGCCUCCCGGGCACUGACAAUCAGGUCACAGUUAAAACAAAGCACCAGUGGGCGGCAGGGUGCAGUGCCUCUUCGCCACCGAGAUUUCACCCGUUCACUGACCUCCUCUUCCUCCUGUUCCUGGGAGCCACCACGAGUCCAAGCACUGCUGGAUGGUGCAGAGAACAGCAGCCCAAGUCUAGCGUGCUGACCGGCGGCAGCCUGCACUGCGGCUGAGGAUGAAAUCACCGUGUUCGAAUCCCAGCCCUGAGAGCCAGCCGGAGUGGCCCAGAUGUUUCCACUCAGGGUUUGGCAAAGGCACCGCCAGGAGGAGGACAAGAGCGGAGAAAGGCGACUGUCCGGGCACGGCAGGAAGAUGGGAGCUGCUGCCCUUCAGACAGCUGCCGUUGGAGCCCCCCAAGGGUUCCUUUGGAUCAGCCCUGGCCCGAGACCUUUCCAGGGAGGCAGGCUCCUGGUGGCUCUUCUGAGCACCCAUCGUUUGUAACCACAGAACCAGGGCGCAGAGCCCCGGGCACAGAGCUGUGUGCUGCCCGAGGAAAUGAGGAUCUGUAGGCUGAAGCAUCUCUCGGGCAUGCCGCCCCCGCUGAGGGUCUCCGGAGAACAGGAGCCUCCAGGGUUUGGUGGUGUCUAUGGAAGGAGUUCCUAGGCUGCCAGAAUUCAGAAAGACAGUGCGAGGGGUCGAGGCUGCCCUAGGAACCCUCGACCCACCCUGUAUCACUGUGAAUUUUCAGGAGUGCCACAGGUUUGAAGGAGCCCAACUUUAAUGCUUUAAACUCAGUGAUUCAUUGGUGGAAAUCUUGUCUCACUCCAUGAGGAUGUGAGGUGGUUCUCGGGAAACUGUACAGUGAAGAAUUAAAGUGAGAAGACGCUAGGAAAACUCUGAGCCAGAUGCUUGGGAACUGGAGCCUGGAGAUGGUUACACAACCUUGGGAAUCUACUAAAUGCCCCCAAACUGCACGGAGCAAAGUGGUUAAAAUGGUACAUUUUAUGUUACGUGUAUUCUGCAAUAAUUAAAAAAAAGCAAAACCAAACCAAAACAAAACAAGAAAACAACUCUGGGCUGGGGAAAAUUCCAACUAGAGCGGGGGGAAGGAGAAGAGAGGGCCGGGCCCAAGUCCUCCCAGCUGGCGGGGUGGAGCUGUGGCUCGUGGCCCCCUCUUCUGCCUGCAGCCAAAGGGAGAAGAAAACUGUCCAUUUGCCGUCAUUCUGAAAAGAUAAAUUGAGCUGCUACGUGCCAGGCCCUGUGCUGGAGACACGACACUGAUGAUGAAACCAAAACAGUCCCACCCUCAGGGAGCCCCCACUGUGGGGAGCCCCCGUACACUUGUCCCUCUUCACGGGGACAGCAAUGUGAGUUCCUCCAGGUGGAAGUCCGUUUUCAGGCAGUGCGUCUCCAAGAGAUUUCACACAACCUCGUGGGGAAGGGGGCUUUGGGACCACGCAUGGCCCAGACAGGCACUAGGAACAAGCUAAGAAGAGAGACCUGGUGGUCCGGUGGUGGAACUGGGACAAUGGAGUGGAAUGUCCAGCCGUGCCAGGAGGUGAGUCACUGAGUGGAAGGCCCAGGGCGAUGGAGAGGGGACAUCAGAUGGCAGCAGCAGAGGUUCCCGAAGCUUUCUGGAGCCAGGGAAGGUCUGUGUGUGCAGGAAGGGUGUUGAGGGCUGGAGGCUACUGGGCUCUCUGGGAGGGAGGGGCUGAGCUGCUCAGGGGAAGAACAUCCGGGAAGCCCAGCUUGAGAAUUGGAGCUGCCUGUAAUCCCAGCACUUUGGGAGGCCGAGGCAGGCAGAUCACGAGGUCAGGAGAUGGAGACCAUCCUGGCUAACACGGUGAAACCCCAUCUCUACUAAAAAUACAAAAAAUUAGCCGGGUGUGGUGGCGGGUGCCUGUAGUCCCAGCUACUUGGGAGGCUGAGGCAGGAGAAUGGCGUGAACCCGGGAGGCGGAGCUUGCAGUGAGCCGAGAUUGCGCCACUGCACUCCAGCCUGGGCGACAGUGUGAGACUCCGUCUCAAAAAAAAAAAAAAAAAAAAAAGGAGCAUCUCCCAUGGGCAGGCCCCGUGGGGAAAGGGCCGUGUGCAGAGAUGCAUUGCAGAAGGUCUCAGAAGACCAAGGUUUAUUGGGAGCAGGGUUUGGGGACUUCCCUUGGGGAUAGGAGGAACCACCAGCAAGUGCAGGAGGCUUCACGUAGGCAUCUAGCUUGUGAGGAAGGAGCAACUGAUGAGUGGAUACAUGUGCCUCCUCACCUGGCAUCAUGUUUUCCAUGUCAUUCUUAUUGAAGCAUGAAUUGGAGCUCCAUUCCUCUUCAUGGCUGAGUAAUACUCCAUCAAAUGGGUGGAAUACAUUUUAUUUAUCCAUUCGUCAAUCAUCUUAGGAGGAAGCGUCCCCAUUCUGUGCAUAAGGAAGAGAUGUCCAGAGAGGUUGAAUAACUCACUGAUGGCUUCACACUGCUGCAUGGUGGAGCUGGGAUUUGAGCCCUCCUCUGUCCAUGUCAAAGCCUUUGUCCUAUGAUGAGGCUCUAGUGAAAAUCGCCCAAACACCUAGAAGGUCUGGACAAAUUGCAACAAACAUCCCCUCAAAGUCAUAAAUGAUUACAGAAGAAAAUAAGCUUUCUGAGAGGGAGGGUGAGGAAGCAGGCAUUGAAAACCAAGCACGGCGUGACCCAUGAGCCCUCGGGACUCCUUGGGAUCUUUGCCAAAACCAGCUCCUAGAAUUAGAGACGGGGGCAAGGGCUGGGGCCAGUAGUGCGUGGAGAGUCAGGGCUCAGAUGAAAGAGGAGGUUGGACCUCUGGAAGGGUGACACCCCUGGGGAAAGAGUGGUCUGUUUUCUGGGACAGUUUUGUUGAGAUACAAUUCACAUCCCAGGCAAUCCACCCACUUAAGGUGUUGUCCUCAGUCAGUGGUUUUUAGCAUAUUCACAAGGUUGUGCAACCAGCACCUCAAUAUAUCUUAGAACAUCUUCAUCCCUUCGAAAGGAAACCCCAUUCACAUUCUCCCAACUCCUUCCCUCAGCAGUCACGAAUCUACUUUUGGUCUCCAUGGAUUUGCCAAUUCUGGGCAUUUCAUAUAAUGGGAAUCAGGCAGUAUGUGGCCUUUUGUGUCUGUCUGCUUUCACUCAGUGUCAUGCUCUCAGGGUUCAUUCUUGCUGUAGCAUGAAUCAGUACUCUGGGCCUUUUGAUGGCUAAUACUCUGUUGUAUGGGUGUAAUACAUUUUAUUUAUCCAUUCAUCAAUUGGUGAAUGUGGGGGUUAUUUUCACUUCUUGGCAGCUACAAAUAAUGCUUCCAUGAACACCCAUGUGCAAAUUUUUGUGUGAAUAGACGUUUUCAUUUCAGAAGUUGAAUUUCUUGAUUAUGUGUUAACUCUAUGUUUAAUAUAUGAGGAACUGCCAGACUGUUCUCUCACAGUGGCUGCGUUAUUUUACAUUCCCUCCAGCAGUCUAUACAAGUUCUGAUUCCUUUACCCGCUCACCAACACUGGUUAUCAUCUGUCUUUUCCAUAACAGCCAUCCCAGUGGGUGUGAAGAGGUAUCUCAUUGUUGUUUUGAUUUGUAUUUCCCUGACAGUGAAUGAUGUUGAGCAUCUUUUCAUGUGCUUGCUGGCCAUUUGCAAAUCUCCUUUGGAGAAAUGUCUAUUCAGAUCUUUUUCCCUUUUAAAAAUUACAUUAUUUGUCUUUUUAUUGUUGUGGUUGAAGAGUUCUUUAUAUAUUUUGAAUAUACAAGUCGCUAAUCAGGAAUGUCAUUUGCAAUGAUUUUCUCCUAUUUUAUGGGUUAUCUUUUCAAUUUCUUGACAUUAUUAUUUACAGCAUGGAGUUUUAAAUUUUGAUGCAGUCCAGUUUUUCUCUCUCUAGUUUUUGUCAUUGUGCUGAUCUACUUUAUUUUUGGGACAGGGUCUUAUUGUAUUGCCCAGGCUGGUCUGAAAUUCCUGGGCUCAAGUGACUUUCCCACCUUAGCCACCCAAUAAGCUAGGAUUACAGGAAUGGGCUGCAGAACCUGGCUGUGACCUCUUUUUGUUAUUUUUUUAAACUUUUUGCUCUGUCUCUGAGAAUUCAUAAUCAUACAUCUUCUCUCAUAUGAGUUCAGUGUUCAAAUUUGUACCAACUAUAUAGUUUAUGAAACUCUUAACUUGGGGAUGAAGUUAAAAAUGUUUAAGAUGAUUGCAGAUGCAUACAAGUGCAGAUGCACGCUAUACAGUUCCCUCUGUUUUCCCCAAGAUUAAUACCAGCCAAAAAUUAACUCACAAUCCAAAAUUAGAGACCAUGGAUGGAGGCAAACCACCUCAGGCACAAGUCAGCAGAGAAAACAACAGCAGUGCUCAAGCCUUAUGGAUUUCAGAUAUUGAUAGUAUCAGAUAUAAAACACACUGAUAAGUGUGUUUAAAGAAAUAAAGAAAUCAAACAUGAGAAAAUAUCAACAGUCAUGAGUAAUUUUUUCAAAAAUAAUCCAAAUAGGCCUUUAGAAAUAGAAAAUAUAAGCAUUCAAUUGAAAACUUAUUGGAUGGGCUUAAAAGAAGAUUAGAUACCACUGAGGGGGAAUUAGUGAACUAGAAGAUAUAGCCAAAAAUUAUUCAGAAAAUAGUGGAGAGAGACAGCACAGAAAGUAUAGAAGAGGGACUGAGAGACAUUUCAGAAGAUGUCUUAUUUAUUGCAGCAUAACAAAUUACCUCCAAAGUUAAGGUUCAAAACAACAGCAAUCACUUCUCAUUUCUCACUCCUUCUGUGCGUAAGGAACUGAGAAUCUCGGUUGGGCUGUGCUUGGGGUCUCAUAAGGUCAAAGGUAGUUGAUGGCUGGGGCUGCCAUUAUCUGAAAGCUCAACUGGGGCUGAGGAUCCACUCACAUGGCAGGAAAAUUGGUGUAGGUUGCUUGCCAGGGCUCUUAAUUCCUUUCCACCUGGGCCUCUCCAUGGGCUGCUUGGGUGUCCUCAGAGUGGCAGGGAGGCAUGGUGCCCAACUUCCUUAAAGUGAGAGAUUCAAGUGGGUGUGUUUGUGUGUGGGGGAAGCUGCAAGGGCUUUUCAGAUCCAGUCUUGGAUGUCACACAGUCACUCCUGCCACACUGUGUUGGUCAUGCAGGUCAGCUCUGAUUCUGUUGUGAGGGGCCCACCAUCAUGGAGGCCAGCUACCACAGAAAGAGAGAAGGGGGAAGAUGGAUACAGCAGUAAUUAAAGCAAUGGUAGCUGAGAGUUUUCUGUAACUGAUGAAAGACAUGCAUCCUCAGAUUCAAGAAGCCCCAUCAAGGCAAACUGGGUAUUUACUAUGUGACAUUUAGACAUAGAGUAAAUAUGUGCUAAAAGUGAAGAGAAGAUCCUGUAAGCAACCAUACAAAAGACAGAUUCCCUAUCAGAGAGCAUCUAGGCUGCCAGCCAAUUUCCAACAAUAACAACAAAAGCCCCAAACAAAAAGCCCCAAACAAUUAGAAAAUAUCUUCAAAGUGCUCCAAAAGAACUGUUAACUUCAAUUCUGUACCAGAUAAAUGUCAUUGAAAUCAUGGUGGAUAAGGAAAAUUUCAGACAAACUAAAGCUGAGCUAGAUCUUCCUCACAGACCCACUCUAAAACAACUUGUAAAUAACAUAAAUCAAGAGGAAAGAAAAUGAUUCCAGAAGGGAGAAUGAGAUGCCAGAAGGAGUGACAUGAGAACGAAUCGUUUAGAUUUACUCACACAUUCAUCCAAGGCCGACUGAGUAAGUACUCUUGGGCAGUCAGCAGGGGAGCAGGGAGUAGAACAGAAAGGAAGUUGGCCAAGGGGGAGGCUCUCAGCAAAGCCUGAAGAGUGAAGAGUAGGGCUUCGGCCUGGCUGUUACCCCACUCUGGGGAGGGGCUGGGUCUUUAUGAUUCCCACCCUCAGGCCUGGUCAGGAGUCGGUGGAGGGCAGCCACCGUUCCCUCUGAUUCUUCCAACCUAUGAGAAAAAAUGGGCUGCAAUAUCCUAAGGGCAAAAAAUAAAAAUAUAAAUAAAUACAAAGACCUAGAAUUGCUGCUGUUGGAAGCAAAAGUCCACUGACACCAGAGGGUGCUCAAGAAAUGGUAUAAAGAGGAGGCCUGGCCACACAUCAGCCUUGUCUACUUUGACUGCAUUAAAUAAUAUCCAGUUUGAAAGAUUAAAAAAAAAAGAACUAAAAUAUCAGCCGCAGCUAACAGGAGGUGAGAGGAUUUGGUGGCAGUUAAAGUGUCUUGGGUUCCUUGUACUGUUUAAGAGAAAGAGAGAGAAAUCAAUUUCAGGCUUAGGUAUGCAUGUCAAAAUGGUGCAGACAACGGCUAAACAUAAACUGAAAUAAAACGGUUUACUGCCAAACAGCAGAGGGGAAAAACAGAAUGAAAUUGACAGGCUGGAAAAACAUAUGAAACCCAGGUAUGUGCUGUUUUUGGAAGAAGUUUCUCGUAAGGAAAGAGAAUCAAGGCAGGACCCAGGUCUGUUACGGUGGAGCCUUGGGUCACCCUGCCAGCCGAGGCCAUGGCAGAGGACAAGAGGAACGCAGAACCUGUGUUGGGAGAAAGGAGCCGGGAGUGCUGACCUGGGUGUGAGGCCAGCUCUGGAAGCAGGAUGGUGGCAGCUCUGCUGCUGUUAUUUCCUUCCCGCCUCUGCUCUUUCCACUCCGCUUAUGCAAAGAUCCUUGGUGGCAGCUGAUCUGUCACAUCUCACGAGGAGCCGUGUCCCGACACCACCCAUGAUGACAUGGUAGCACGUGGAGGACAGCAAGUUUUGAGCCAGAUGAAGGACAGGAGUACAUGGAUGUUGAGGGGCAAAAGGGGUGGAAUGUAUUGGGUGUUUUUUUUUUCUUUUUUUAAAAUGGCUUUAUUGAAAUAUAUUUUAUAUACCAAACAACUCACCCAUUUAAAAUGUACGAUUCAAUGUUUUUUGGUCUGUUAUUAUUUUUUAAAAUUGUGGUAAAAUAUAUAAAACAUACAA